GAUGAACGCUGGCGGCGUGCCUAAUACAUGCAAGUCGAGCGAACAGAUAAGGAGCCUGCUCCUUUGACGUUAGCGGCGGACGGGUGAGUAACACGUGGGUAACCUACCUAUAAGACUGGAAUAACUCCGGGAAACCGGGGUUAAUGCCGGAUAACAUUUAGAACCGCAUGGUUCUAAAGUGAAAGAUGGUUUUGCUAUCACUUAUAGAUGGACCCGCGCCGUAUUAGCUAGUUGGUAAGGUAACGGCUUACCAAGGCAACGAUACGUAGCCGACCUGAGAGGGUGAUCGGCCACACUGGAACUGAGACACGGUCCAGACUCCUACGGGAGGCAGCAGUAGGGAAUCUUCCGCAAUGGGCGAAAGCCUGACGGAGCAACGCCGCGUGAGUGAUGAAGGUCUUCGGAUCGUAAAACUCUGUUAUUAGGGAAGAACAAAUGUGUAAGUAACUGUGCACGUCUUGACGGUACCUAAUCAGAAAGCCACGGCUAACUACGUG
rnacentral:rRNA from 1 species